rnacentral:rRNA from 1 species
AACGAACGCUGGCGGCAGGCCUAACACAUGCAAGUCGAACGAAGUCUUCGGACUUAGUGGCGGACGGGUUAGUAACGCGUGGGAACGUGCCCUUUACUUCGGAAUAGUCCCGGGAAACUGGGUUUAAUACCGAAUACGCCCUUUGGGGGAAAGAUUUAUCGGUAAAGGAUCGGCCCGCGUUGGAUUAGGUAGUUGGUGGGGUAAUGGCCUACCAAGCCGACGAUCCAUAGCUGGUUUGAGAGGAUGAUCAGCCACACUGGGACUGAGACACGGCCCAGACUCCUACGGGAGGCAGCAGUGGGGAAUCUUGGACAAUGGGGGCAACCCUGAUCCAGCCAUGCCGCGUGAACGAUGAAGGCCUUAGGGUUGUAAGUCUUUCACGGUGAGAUAA